UUCAUAUUGUGUCAGUAACUUUCUUGAUUUUUUGAACAAGUGGCAUCGGGGCUAUUGAUUAUAGAUUUUGUUUGAGGUUUCUAUUAUCGAUGGUAGCCAUGAAGUAUGAUAUUCCAUUUUUUAUCACAAUACAAGAUUUUCAUUGUGGCAAAUAAAGAUGAGAGUAGUGUUAUUGAGGAUGGACUUGGAUGAUGCAUUGUUGGGGUUUGAUAAGAUGCCCACAACUUGGACAAUAGAGGAGAAGCAACAGAGGGAUCUAAAAGUUUUUUCGUAGAUACAUCUUCAUUUUUCUAACAACAUUCUUCAUGACGUAUUGAAGGAGAAGACGACUACUGCAUUAUGGUUAAAUUGGAGCAACUGUGCAUGACGAAGAGUUUGACAAGCAAGUUGCAUAUGAAGCAGAGGCUAUAUUAUCAUUAUAUGGCAGAAAAAGGAUCUUUUGGAGUCGUGUUCAAGGAAAUCGUUGUUGAUCUGGAUACGUUAGAGGUUAAUUAUGAUGAAGAUGACUUGGCCUUGAUCCUGUUGUGCUUACUGCUCACUACGUAUUCGUCGUUUAGGGACACGAUUCCAUCUAGUUGUGACACACUCACCAUUGAUGACGUUUAUGAUGCUUUAUUCUCAAAGGAGGAGAUAAAACAUUUCGUUGGAGCUGGAUCUAGAGAUUAGGAAACUCUGGUUACUUAUGGUGAUCGACGGAAGGAUAAGUCGAGGGUAAACUUCAGCAAUCAGAUUUGCUUCUAUUGUAGGAGAAAAUAACACAUCAAAAAGGAUUAUGAUGAGUUGCAGAGUAAAGGUAAUUCAGCUACAAAUCGUGUGAGGCAAUCAGAUCAUUCGGACGAUAUAAACAUUGUCAAUGACUUUCGGAUGGCGGAUAUGUGAUGUUGACUGUAUCUGACAUGGAAUCCAAGCUUGAUGAGGAGUAUAUUUUGGAUUUAGCGUGUUCAUUCCAUAUGUAUUCCAAUAGGGCCUGGUUUGAAACAUAAGAAAUGGUGAAGCAAUGUGUUGUUGUCAUGGAAAACAACAAAUCUUGUAAGGUAGCUAGAAUUGGGAGAGUCAGAUUGAGGUUGUUUAAUGGAAAAAUUAUUCAUACCUUCUUAGAAAACAUGCGUAGGUACAGAAUCGAGUUUAAACCAAAAAUACUCAACGUACAAAAUCAAGAUUUUUCUUAAACUCAAAACAGAAAAUAAAGAACAUGAGAUAUUUUUCGACCAAAGGCCCUAGAGGUUCAAUGACUGCUUCUAAUGCUUGGUCCCCCAUUGAGCACCCAUAAAGCAUUAAGCUCGAAACCACUAAAUCGGCCAAAAUAGGCAAAAAUCAAGUUACAGAACACUGAGUUCCCAUGUCUCAAAUACAACACGAUAUUCCCACAGAAGAAACUCCCAAAAGAGUUUCUUUACAAAUUCUCUCAAAAAUCACACUAAGUAUUUUCAAAGAAAUUACAAAAUUAGAACGGAGAAGAUGAAAAGGCACGCAGCUAAGAAAACUUU
rnacentral:lncRNA from 1 species